UGAGUAACGCGUAUGCAACCUACCUAUCGAGAGGGGAAUAACCCGGCGAAAGUCGGACUAAUACCGCAGUAAAACAGGGGCACCGCAUGGUGAUAUUUGUUAAAGAAAUUCGCUGAUAGAUGGGCAUGCGUUCCAUUAGGUAGUUGGUGAGGUAACGGCUCACCAAGCCGACGAUGGAUAGGGAACUGAGAGGUUGGUCCCCCACACUGGUACUGAGACACGGACCAGACUCCUACGGGAGGCAGCAGUGAGGAAUAUUGGUCAAUGGGCGGGAGCCUGAACCAGCCAAGUCGCGUUGAAGGAAGAAGGAUCUAUGGUUCGUAAACUUCUUUUGCGAGGGGAAUAAAGUGCAGGACGUGUCCUGUUUUGUAUGUACCCUGAGAAUAAGGAUCGGCUAACUCCGUGCCAGCCGCAGC
rnacentral:rRNA from 1 species